CUGUCCGCCUAACUACACAGGUGAGCUAUGCGACGAGGUGAUUGACCACUGUGUGCCUGAGCUGAACCUCUGUCAGCAUGAGGCCAAGUGCAUCCCCCUGGACAAAGGAUUCAGCUGCGAGUGUGUCCCUGGCUACAGCGGGAAGCUCUGUGAGACAGACAAUGAUGACUGUGUGGCCCACAAGUGCCGCCACGGGGCCCAGUGCGUGGACACAAUCAAUGGCUACACAUGCACCUGCCCCCAGGGCUUCAGUGGACCCUUCUGUGAACACCCCCCACCCAUGGUCCUACUGCAGACCAGCCCAUGCGACCAGUACGAGUGCCAGAACGGGGCCCAGUGCAUCGUGGUGCAGCAGGAGCCCACCUGCCGCUGCCCACCAGGCUUCGCCGGCCCCAGAUGCGAGAAGCUCAUCACUGUCAACUUCGUGGGCAAAGACUCCUACGUGGAACUGGCCUCCGCCAAGGUGGCCACUGACAAGGACAACGGCAUCCUUCUCUACAAAGGAGACAAUGACCCCCUGGCACUGGAGCUGUACCAGGGCCACGUGCGGCUGGUCUAUGACAGCCUGAGUUCCCCUCCAACCACAGUGUACAG
rnacentral:lncRNA from 1 species